CAAGAUGGUGUGUGUCCAAGAUGGUGGUCCUUAUCCAAGAUGGCAGUGUGUGUCCAAGAUGGUGGUGCUUAUCCAAGAUGGCCGUGUGUGUCCAAGAUGGUGUGUGUCCAAGAUGGUGGUGCUUAUCCAAGAUGGCGGUGUGUGUCCAAGAUGGUGUGUCUCCAAGAUGGUGGUGCUUCUCCAAGAUGGCCGUGUGUGUCCAAGAUGGUGUGUGUCCAAGAUGGUGGUGCUUCUCCAAGAUGGCUGUGUGUGUCCAAGACAGUGUGUGUCCAAGAUGGUGGUGCUUCUCCAAGAUGGCCGUGUGUGUCCA
rnacentral:lncRNA from 1 species